CCUACGGGAGGCAGCAGUAAGGAAUAUUGGUCAAUGGACGCAAGUCUGAACCAGCCAUGCCGCGUGAAGGAUUAAGGCCCUCUGGGUUGUAAACUUCUUUUAUAGGGGACGAAAAAAGGGCAUUCUUGCUCACUUGACGGUACCCUAGGAAUAAGCACCGGCUAACUCCGUGCCAGCAGCCGCGGUAAUACGGAGGGUGCAAGCGUUAUCCGGAUUUACUGGGUUUAAAGGGUGCGUAGGUGGGUUGGUAAGUCAGUGGUGAAAUCUUCGAGCUUAACUCGGAAACUGCCAUUGAUACUAUCAAUCUUGAAUCAUCUAGAGGUAAGCGGAAUAUGUCAUGUAGCGGUGAAAUGCUUAGAUAUGACAUAGAACACCAAUUGCGAAGGCAGCUUACUAUGGAUGUAUUGACACUGAGGCACGAAAGCGUGGGGAUCAAACAGGAUUAGAUACCCUGGUAGUCCACGCCCUAAACGAUGGAUACUCGACAUUUGUGAUAUACUAUAAGUGUCUGAGCGAAAGCAUUAAGUAUCCCACCGNGGAGUAACGUACCGCGAGUUAGUAACGUUACAAUAGAGUUGAGGCGNGAGAGNGCGAGACGACGACGAGGGAGAGG
rnacentral:rRNA from 1 species